UGGGAAGUGGCUCAGUGGUAUAGCGCUUGCCUUACAUGCAUAAGGCCCUGGGUUCGAUUCCCAGCACCAUAU
rnacentral:tRNA from 1 species